GACGAACGCUGGCGGCGUGCUUAACACAUGCAAGUCGAACGGAAAGGCCCUGCUUUUGUGGGGUGCUCGAGUGGCGAACGGGUGAGUAACACGUGAGUAACCUGCCCUUGACUUUGGGAUAACUUCAGGAAACUGGGGCUAAUACCGGAUAGGAGCUCCUGCUGCAUGGUGGGGGUUGGAAAGUUUCGGCGGUUGGGGAUGGACUCGCGGCUUAUCAGCUUGUUGGUGGGGUAGUGGCUUACCAAGGCUUUGACGGGUAGCCGGCCUGAGAGGGUGACCGGCCACAUUGGGACUGAGAUACGGCCCAGACUCCUACGGGAGGAAGCAGUGGGGAAUAUUGAACAAUGGGCGGAAGCCUGAGGAAGCAACGCCGGGUGCGGGAUGACGGCCUUCGGGUUGUAAACCGCUUUCGCCUGUGACGAAGCGUGAGUGACGGUAAUGAGUAAAGAAGCACCGGCUAACUACGUG
rnacentral:rRNA from 1 species